rnacentral:tRNA from 1 species
GGGCCCAUAGCUCAGUGGUUAGAGCAGUCGGCUCAUAACCGAAAGGUCCCAGGUUCGAACCCCGGUGGGCCCACCA